rnacentral:lncRNA from 9 species
ACAUGAAAACAAUAAUGUGAUGGGAAAAUGUUAUGAUGUGUUAAUAGAAUAAUGCAGGACAUUAAACUGCACAACGGUAAAGUGCCAACUGAUAUUGCAGCGUGGUUAAUAGCUCUGGGUGGAGCAGUUCUACAUGGGUUUGAUCUUUUUUUUCUCUUCUUCCUUUUUGAUUUUGCAAAAUUUCAUACUGACAAGUUGAAAUGAGGAAACUGUUCCAGGUAUGCUGGUUGGGACCCACAGUGUGGUGGAUCAUGUGCCAUGCCUGCUGGCCUGUAUCUCACUGCAAGUUCAGGGGAAGUGAUUCUUUUAAACCAUGAAGAACUCAGACGAGCCAAGGGCAGUCCUCCUGCCCCUUGAAGAGAAAAGAGCACCACACGAUGCUUUCCUUCUGUCCAAGAACUAAGGUUCAUUUUAUAUGCCUGAAAGCUAACUGUGGGCCCAGCUGCGUUUCACCCUGAAGGUCCUGUGGCUGCAGACACACACCUGGAUGGAGCAGUGCUGCCCAGCUCAUCCCACCUGUGCCCAUACAGCUUCUAAUGCCAGCUUCUACCAGACCAACCUCGUUCCCAGCCCCCAGGAGCUGCCAGAGGCCCUGAGGACUCAGCCAAGCUCUAACUGGUGGACCCUGGGUAAGGGGUGUGGCAGGCAUACCCUGGGUGAAGGGGUGUGGGGGACAGAUACUGGGUGAAGUGGUGUGGCGAGCAGACAGUAAUGCAUUCACAGGGUGCAGGUGGCCAGCAUCACCCUUGCGAUGAAAUCAUGUUUCUCACAUUUUAUAUCUUACAGAGUAGGACAUGGAACAUAAUAAUAGUUUUUGUUCAUUCUAAGUAAACAUCUGACAAUGUCCAAUUCAGUGGGUUCCACCCCUAAAAUACAACAAUGCUUCCUUAAAUAAAAAAUGGCUGAAAAGAUGUGCAUUCAAAGGUAAUGAGGACAGAUCUCAAUAUGCGGUCCUGGCCAUGCAAGAAGGAACUGCCUUCCCCUCUUCCUCUUUCAAUCUUUUUCCCACCUCAACUCCCCCCAACCCAGCUCCCAGCCCUCCAGGCUCAAAAGCCCUCAUCCUCAUGUGUGGGCUCCUAGCAACUCAUGUACCUCACUUCAUGCUCCCCCUUCUCUCCAGUCUGGGGUCCCCGUGUCACCCACACAGCUUCCUCUUGUGACGGCAUCCCCUCUGGACAGGCAUAAGGCAUCACUUUGCUUCUCCCUCCUGCUGGAGCCAAAGGUCCCUUUUGAAGCUCCCCGGCCCACUGCCCAGCAUGCCUUACGUGUCAUGGCUGGGGGCUCUGGACAGGGUGACUGAUCGCAGACCCUCCCAUGCCUGGAUUGCUGUCUCUCUCCUUGUCCCCAGGGACUGGUCCUGGAGGCAGCCUGGGGAAGCAUCCACAUUGUCUUCUCUGAUUCUCCAUGAUCCCACCAUCAGAACAGCUUUCUGACCUGUCAAGAAGAACACCUGCUUGAGACUGGCCAGGUAGCAUCCCCAGCCUACUGGCUUCUAAACAGUCCCAGGCUCUUAAGAGAUAAAAAUUCAUUCCUGGAGACCAUGGAAGCAGAGACUCCUGUUUGAACCAAGGAGGGUAGGGAGUAGCAGAAAUCGCUAAGGGGAGAAGCAGUGAUUAGCAUUCCAAGUAUACACACACACAGAGUUUCGGGUGUUUUACAGUGGACUAAGGCCCUAGCACAGCCUGCCUCCAAGUGCAGACAAAGGAUGGGGAGAGUUAAGUUCAGCCUCCCAGGCAGGGAGAUCUUGGGCCAGCAUUCAGCCAGCAUAGAGCUUUGGACACAAGGACACACACGCAGGAGAAUCAGGCAGGUCCCUGCCCACAGGAACCCUCAGCCUGGAAGGGGACCAGCAGUACCCUACAAGGCUCCACCUUUUGGGGGGGUGUGAUGUUGCCUUUUGAAGAAACCAGCUCAGUUGUCUCGGGGACCAUCCUGUCUUUUCUUCUUCUCCUUCUUCUCCUUCUUCUCCUUCUUCUCCUUCUUCUCCUCCCUCUCCCCUCUCCCUCUCCCUCUCCCUCUCCCUCUUCCUCU